rnacentral:rRNA from 1 species
ACUAAGUUUCCAACGUCUAGCACACAUCGUUUACGGCAUGGACUACGAGGGUAUCUAAUCCUCUUCGCUACCCAUGCUUUCGUUCCUCAGUGUCAGUAAUGAUCCAGAAAGUUGCCUUCGCUUUUGAUGUUCUUUCUAAUAUCUACGAAUUUCACCUCUACACUAGAAAUUCCACUUUCCUCUAUCAUACUCUAGCUAAAAAGUUUUGAUGGCAGUUCCAAGGUUGAGCCUUGGGAUUUCACCAUCAACUAUUUUAACCACCUACGAACUCUUUAAGCCCAGUAAUUCCGAACUACGCUAGGUCCCUUCGUAUUACCGCGGCUGCUGGCACGAAGUUAGCCGGACCUUCUUAUUCGGGUACAGUCAUUUUCUUCCCCGACGAAAGAGUUUUACAACCCAAAGGCCUUCUUCACUCACGCGGCAUCGCUGCAUCAGGGUUUCCCCCAUUGUGCAAGAUUCCCCACUGCUGCCUCCCGUAGGAGUUUGGGCCGUGUCUCAGUCCCAAUGUGGCUGGUCUUCCUCUAAGAACAGCUAUUGAUCGUUGCCUUGGUAAGCUAUUACCUUACCAACUAGCUAAUCAAGUGCGGGCUCAUCUUUUGGCAUUAAAACUUUCCCUGUAAAGGCUUAUCCGGUAUUAGCACAAGUUUCCUCGUGUUAUUCCGAACCAAAAGGCAGAUUCCCACAUUAUACUCACCCGUUUGCCACUCAGUAUUGCUACUGCGUUCGACUUGCAUGUGUUAGGCGUGCCGCCAGCGUACGUUCUGAGCCAGGAUCAAACUCU